UAGCUACUCCUUCCGUCCGAAAAAGCUUGUCCCAAGCUUGUUUCUCAAAUGGAUGUAUCUAGCACUAACUUGGUGCUAGAUACAUCCAUUUGAGGGACAAGUUUUUCCGGACGGAGGGAGUACUAC
rnacentral:pre_miRNA from 1 species